rnacentral:tRNA from 1 species
AAAAAGGUGCCUGAUUAAAGGAAUAUUCUGAUAGAAUAUAUAAAGUAAAAAACUAUACCCUUUUUA